UACGAAGGGGGCUAGCGUUGCUCGGAAUCACUGGGCGUAAAGCGCACGUAGGCGGCUUCUUAAGUCAGGGGUGAAAUCCUGGAGCUCAACUCCAGAACUGCCCUUGAUACUGAGGAGCUCGAGUCCGGAAGAGGUGAGUGGAACUGCGAGUGUAGAGGUGAAAUUCGUAGAUAUUCGCAAGAACACCAGUGGCGAAGGCGGCUCACUGGUCCGGUACUGACGCUGAGACGCGAAAGCGUGGGGAGCGAACAGG
rnacentral:rRNA from 1 species